UGGCGUAAGAGUCAAACUCAAACAGUGGUGAAUCAAUCAGGCAUACAAAACUAACUUUAAUGCUUCCAUGUAUUUACAAACGGCUGACACGAAAGAGUAUAGCUUCAUCAAUAUGCUAACUGAUCCGAAUUUAGCUACGCGGUGAACAAAACAUUGGUUUUCAGAGUCAGCAGAAAAUUAUGUUGCUGAGGAAAAUUACAUCCAUAGUCCAUACUUUUGCUUUAUCAUGAAAACAACAUAUAAGAAAACAAAAGGUAAAUAGAACACCAUGUAUCAACUUUCAUCACUUUGAAAUUUGUUAGUCAAUUUUGACCUUUUUUCACAUUUGGGGACAGUGAUUGAGACCGAAGAGAUACCAUCCACCAAAAGGCAGUGGAUCUCAGCACUAAAAAAACUAGCUGCAAUAAAGUCUUAAUCACACAUCCAUGCAACAAAAUCUAGAAACAAAAACCCCACGGGCCACGGGUAAAGGACAGCGACGGCACAACAAAAUCCUAUUACCAAUCUCCAAAUCACCCUCUUUUUUUCCUUAACCAAUUUCAUCGUAGCAACUACACCAAUACACCAUAUAACAAUGAUCGAAAGAAAAUAGCUAGAAACAGUAACAAUCAUCACUUAACUAAGCAUCGAUGGGGGCAGACAUUAUAAUCCUUUCCUACCCCCCACUCUCUCACUCUACUAGUUUCACUAUUACUCAUCACUCUCAAACACGAAUUCGCGGGGGN
rnacentral:lncRNA from 1 species